AAUUCUCAAUCCUCUUCAAACUUGCUUUGUAGAGGCUUUGGACUUUGGAGUGUGCUGGCUUGGUUAUAAAGUCGGCUCCUCUUAAAUGGAUUAGCGUGGAUCUUUUGCAGAUAAGCUUUAGUUUGAUAAUUAUCUAUGCUAAUUGCUUUUGAAACAAAAUGCCAGCUUCUUAAUUGUUGUUCAUACAACUCUCUUUGAUA
rnacentral:misc_RNA from 1 species